GAAAUACCACACGAGACAAGAUAUUGAUAAUAAAGUUUGAUGAGAGGUGGGCCAUCUAAAAUCAAUAAUAAAUGGGAGUCUUUCAACAGUUAAAACUUCUGUUUAAGAAGAAUUAUAUUCUUCGGAAACGGCAGCCUGGUAUACUAGCGCUAGAGGUAUUAUGGCCAGUGUUUAUGGUAAUAAUUGUUGCCGUCAUAAGGCAGGCAGUACCACCAGAAGAUCGCCAUAC